GAUGGUGUAGCUCAGCGGUUAGAGCGGUUGACUGUUAAUCAACGGGUCGAUGGUUCAAUAAGCAGGAUGUCAGCGGUUCGAGUCCGUUAAUCGGCACCA
rnacentral:tRNA from 1 species